AGAACGGCGCAUUAGUGCCUCUGGGCGACCUGCUGUAUGUGACAGGUGGCCGCUGGCAAGGCAUGGAUGGAGACUACCACGUGGAGAUGGAGGCCUAUGACACUGUGAGAGACGCCUGGGCCCGCCACGGCUCCCUACCCCGUCUCUGGCUCUACCAUGGGGCAUCUACCAUCUUUCUGGACAUCUCCAAGUGGACGCAGCCCUUCAGCCCCACUGCCCCUCGGGAGCACUAGGGAGCACUCUGCUCCUAGUUGUCCUGCAGAAUGUCACCCCUAUGCUUGUCCUCUGACUACUGUGAAUUGCUGCCCCCUCCAGGGCAUGAGCUGGGCUCAGUAUCAGAUGGCACAGCUCUGGAGGCUACCAACUUUGCCACCAGUUGUAAGGGUGAGACCCUGAUACUCAACUCACAGUGGGGGAGAGAGCUCUGCUGUCCCUGGAGACGUCAGAGAAAGCUGAGGGGUCCUGGACUACACCCUCAGAGAAAACAGACCCCUUGGUGGCAGCUCUUCUUGUUCUAUCCAGCUGUGGUUUGCAGGGAAGCUGUGCAAAUGAGGAGUUAAAAUGGAACAUCCAGAACUCUGAGCCAGGGCCUCGAGCUUGGAUACCCACCCUAGAGCAUGCCGCAACCUGCUCUUUGACCAUGCCCACAGCUUCCUCUCUCUCCUCUUUCCUCAGAUUCCACAUUCACCCUGCAUGGGGUGGUUGGAUGAAAGCCAGGCUCUCCCCAUCUCUAGCCUCUGUGUGUUGACACUGUGUUUACAUAGCUGCUUCUGGGAUGAAGGUGGUCCUGCCCUACCACGGGUACCUCUGACACCAGGAAAGCAGCCCCCGAAGAGACACUAGGAAGGCAGGGGAUGCUGUACAGGACAGGAGAGUGGUUCUCAGCCUUCCUAGUGUUGCAAUCCUUGAAUACAGUCCCUCAUGCUGUGGUGACCUCUGAACAU
rnacentral:lncRNA from 1 species